AGCCCAGAGAUGGUCCUACU
rnacentral:misc_RNA from 1 species